AUUGAACGCUGGCGGCAGGCUUAGCACAUGCAAGUCGAGCGGGGUGAUGGUGCUUGCACUAUCACUUAGCGGCGGACGGGUGAGUAAUGCUUUGGAAUCUGCCUAUUAGUGGGGGACAACAUCUCGAAAGGGAUGCUAAUACCGCAUACGUCCUACGGGAGAAAGCAGGGGAUCACUUGUGACCUUGCGCUAAUAGAUGAGCCUAAGUCGGAUUAGCUAGUUGGUGGGGUAAAGGCCUACCAAGGCGACGAUCUGUAGCGGGUCUGAGAGGAUGAUCCGCCACACUGGGACUGAGACACGGCCCAGACUCCUACGGGAGGCAGCAGUGGGGAAUAUUGGACAAUGGGGGGAACCCUGAUCCAGCCAUGCCGCGUGUGUGAAGAAGGCCUUAUGGUUGUAAAGCACUUUAAGCGAGGAGGAGGCUCUUUUGGUUAAUACCCAAGAUGAGUGGACGUUACUCGCAGAAUAAGCACCGGCUAACUCUGUGCCAGCAGCCGCCGUAA
rnacentral:rRNA from 1 species